GUUGAACGCUGGCGGCAGGCCUAACACAUGCAAGUCGAGCGGGUGGAGGUGGCUUGCUCGGGGGUUCAGCGGCGGACGGGUGAGUAAUGCCUAUGAGUCUGCCUGCAAGAGGGGGAUAAGGUCCGGAAAAGGGCGCUGAUACCGCAGACGACCUGAGGGAGAAAGUGGGGGGGGGUCGGAGCUCGAGCUACCAGAUGAGCCGAGGUCGGAUUAGCUAGUUGGUGGGGUACAGGCGUACCGAGGGGAUGAUCCGUCACUGAUCUGAGAGGAUGAUCAGUCACACUGGAAGUGAGACACGGUCCAGACUGCUACUGGAGGCAGCAGUGGGGAAUAUUGGACAAUGGGCGAAAGCCUGAUCCAGCAAUGCCGCGUGUGUGAAGAAGGUCUUCGGAUUGUAAAGCAGUUUAAGUUGGGAUGAAGGGCAGCAAGUUAAUACCUUGCUGUUUUGACGUUACCAGCAGAAUAAGCACCGGCUAACUUCGUG
rnacentral:rRNA from 1 species